CUCAGAUUUUAAUGGAAAGCACAAGAAGGAGUUCAAGCUAUUUAAGAACGGGAAUGGAAAAAAAAAGGGAAUGGUGACUUAGAAAAAUUAUAACUCAAAUCUCCUAUAUUAGGUGACUUCCUAAAGUAGAUCUAGCUGGUCAUUGUGGUGUCUCUAACAGCAACGUAGAAGCAACAUAGUCCUCUAUUUCAAGCUGUCAUAGGCGAGGGGAUUUUCAUAAGGGAAUUGGUUUAGUAUUCAUUUCAGGAGAAUUUUUAUGCAAAUAUAAGUUAUUAUAGCAGCAACGUACUCCCAAUAUAUAGCAGCAACAUACUUCUAAUAUAGGGCAGCAACGUAAGUCCAUUUUACGGAGGUGAAGAAGGGACUUUUUCUCAAGAACAACAUAUGGAUUUUGUUUACUACUUCGAUCUCAUUGUUGAAUUCGGGCUUUCCUCGAAGGGAAGUAAGGUGGAAGAAGAUCAUUUCUUGGUAUAUAAGAUAUAGAUCGUGGAGCAGAUACGAGUUGAGUUCUUGAGCCGUUGAGCUAAGACCAGGUCCCAAGAUACAUGUUGGUGACCCAUCUAUUAGGAUAUCAGCUCAGCAGAUGAGUUUGAUGCACUCCAUUUGUUCCGAAGAUGCCAGGAGUCACCAUGGUCUUAUGUAUAUUUAUGUGUGCACUUAUGUAUGGGUAUGGCGAGGCCCUGUCCCGGUCAUGUUAUGUUAUGUUUUCUAGUAGAGGCUUGUAGACAGUUAUGUACAGUCAGAUGAUGCCCAGACUUGAGAGUUCAUAUGUUGUCACAAGUGGUUAUGAUAGCCUUAUCGGCUCAUACAGUAUGCCCAGCAUAUUCAUACAGAUGAGUCUUUCAGAUUAUUCGAUGUAGGCAUGCUUUCGUUAUGAGUCUAUUGAGAGUCAUAUGAUGGCCCUAUCAGCCUACCAAUGUUUAUGUUGAUGUCACAGAUGUAUGUUGGAUGGUACUUGAUUAGUACAGUCAGGUGCCCGUCAUGGCCCUCCAGUUUGGGUCGUGAUAGAGAUAUGGGCACUUUGCGUUUUUAGUAAUGUCAUUUGGGUUGACGAACACACCAGCAACAUUCAUGGAUAUGAUGAAUAGUAUAUUUCGUCCCUUUCUGGAUGUUUUCGUGAUUGUAUUUAUUGAUGUUAUUCUGGUCUACUCUCGUUCGGAAGUAGAACAUGCCGAUCAUUUGCGAAAGGUAUUACAGAUACUUCAAGCCCGAAAGUUGUACGCUAAAUUCUCCAAGUGCAACUUCUGGUUGAAUUCAGUGACAUUCCUCAGUCAUAUUAUUCGGGUUGAUACUCAGAAGAUAGAAGUCGUAAAGAAUUGGGCAAGACUUACAACUCAAUCGGAGGUUCGUAGCUUUCUGGGACUAGCAGGUUAUUACAGGAGAUUCGUAGAAGGGUUUACUAAUAUAUCAGCGCCAUUGACGAAAUUAACUCAUAAAGGGGUUAAGUUUCAGUGGUCAAAUGCUUGUGAACAAAGUUUUAAAGAGUUGAAGAAUCGGUUGACAACACCUGUUCUUACUCUUCCAUAGGAUACUGAAGGCUAUGUGGUUUAUUCCGAUGCUUCAGAUACAGGUUUAGGGUGUGUACUGAUGCAGCACGGAAAGGUAAUUGCUUAUGCUUCAAGGCAACCGAGGAAGCAUGAAAAGAUCUAUCCAACACAGGAUUUGGAGUUAGCAGCCGUGGUGUAUGCAUUGAAGAUUUGGCGGCAUUACAUAUAUGGUGUUCAUGUAGAUAUCUUCACGGACCACAAGAGUCUCCAAUACAUAUUUAAACAGAAUAAACUCAUAUAGCAUGCAUCAUGUUCAAUUAGGAUAAUCGCAUAAGCAGAUA